GUACACAUAAAGUUAUUCAAUGUAAUUGCUAAACGUAGUAUGUGUAUUUAAUUUUGUAUAUUUAAUCAAAUUGAAUAAGGGCGUGCAAAUUAGGUUAAGUGGCGCCACGCACUAAGGAAAUAGCAUUUCGAUCUAUAGGCUGUUCGAUAGGAACUGCUUGCGAUUCUCGAAAGCGUUAGUGGCGUUGGUACAAUUUAGUCAGCACAAGUAAGUGGCUUUGAGAGAAAAAUUACAGAAAUCAUUUAAUAUAAAGGAGUGCUGAAUAUUACAUAGUAAAUGUUAUCACUGUGAGCUUUAGGUUAGCUCGAAAUGAAGUUAAAUCGUAAAGUGCACGUUAAGAUGGCGUUACAAAGUGAUCAUUUGUUUUCUUUAACCUUUCGCAUAAACCUUUUAGGUAUGAUCAUAGAAUAUUAAGCAUUACUAGUAUCUACGGUAUCCACAUUCAGUUUAACAAUGCAGUAAUUAGGUUAGUUUGAAGUAAAAUUGAAUCAUAAAGAAUUGAAAACAGUAUCCCUUCGCUCACUUUUAGGUACCUCAGUAUGUGUAAAAAUCCAGAGAUACAGUAUAUUAAUCAGCUGUAUAGGAGAAAAAGAUACAUUGAAGGUCAUUUCGAUAUCGUGAAAGAUUAAACAGAAUCCUAUAAAACCUCAAUGGCGAAAGUAAACGAAGUAAUAGAGUACAUAUUUUGAUAUUUAUAAAUUGGGGAAUACAUUAAAAACUGAUGAUAAUUAAUCAUAGGAAAAAAGUGGCUUUUCUAAAUUACUUGAAACUUGGACAAAAGUCGCUUAUAGGGGUUGAAAAGAGUUACUUCUCCAGGUUACAAGAUCCAACCCAGUGUAUCAGCAAGGCGUAACAAGUGUCUGUGUGACGUCACGCGGCUUUCUGGAGGCGGAGCCUGUGAUCGCGGGAGCAGGUGGGGGUGGGACUCUCCCGCAUCGUGGAUCGUUUGCCCCACCCUCGGGAUUUUGUUCCUUCGUACCACCGCCACCUUCAACCUCCUCCUUUUCUCCCCCGUCGUCUCUUUUACUCUCUUUUGAACUUUGUUCGGUGACCCCCCACCUGUCUCUACUCUACCAAGUUGCAAGAACACCGAACUGCCACAAAAUACUCGAGUAAACUGUAAUCAAAUAACCGUUGACCCUUUGAAGUUAACCGGUGAAGUCAAGCGAUCCAGCCCGACGACGCACCGAUAUUACUUGAUACGUAGCUUCGUUGAAGUUGGAAAGAAUUUUCCCGGAAUACAUACGCGAAAAGAUGGUGUAAGGCGCUUUAAAGGUCUCCGGUCGGCGUGUUCCCGCAACGCUACCGUUUAUUGCACUGUGGUCUGCUAAAGUGCAAUCGAGGAAGCAAAAUGCGGUUUCACUCGUUCGUGCGGGGCUCGCAAGAAUGUAAUUAACCCCUCGGAAGUGGCACGGUGCUUCGACCCGUGGCCGAUUUUACCUGCGUUUUCUUAUCUCUCUGUCUUUAAAAGUGAGAAGCGCGGACGAGGGACACCUCGCCGAUCGGUUUUGUCGGUUCACACCGAUCUACCGCAAAAAUCGGGUCUGCGUGUCGUGAAACCGCAAUUACUUACGCGAAAGACGCCGGCCAGAUCUAUCGCAGUUGUCACGUGUGUUUAUGGUUGUUCGGCCAUGAUGUAAUCCCAUUGUUUUUUUACUUGAUUUUUCUAGUCUGUAUGUUGAGACUUUUUCUUUUAAUUGCAUAGUUUGCUUCCUUUAAUAAGAAAAUGUACAAACAAUGUGGUAAUUCAAUUCGUGGUUAGGAAUGCUUAAUAUAUAGAAUAGUUAACCAUUGUUAUUUGUCUUGCGAAUUAAUGAUCAAUUAAGAUAA